rnacentral:rRNA from 1 species
AUUGAACGCUGGCGGCAGGCCUAACACAUGCAAGUCGAGCGAGCGGCGGACGGGUGAGUAAUGUCUGGGAAACUGCCUGAUGGAGCGGGAUAACUACUGGAAACGGUAGCUAAUACCGCAUACCAUCGGAUGUGCCCAGAUGGGCUUAGCUAGUAGGGGGGGUAACGACUCACCUAGGCGACGAUCCCUAGCUGGUCUGAGAGGAUGACCAGCCACACUGGAACUGAGACACGGUCCAGACGCCUACGGGAGGCAGCAGUGGGGAAUAUUGCACAAUGGGCGCAAGCCUGAUGCAGCAAUGCCGCGUGUGUGAAGAAGGCCUUCGGGUUGUAAAGUACUGUCAGCGGGGAGGCGUUACCCGCAGAAGAAGCACCGGCUAACUCCGUGCCAGCAGCCGCGGUAAUUC